rnacentral:rRNA from 1 species
GACGCCGUAAUGAUUAAUAGGGAUAGUCGGGGGCAUCAGUAUUCAAUUGUCAGAGGUGAAAUUCUUGGAUUUAUUGAAGACUAACUACUGCGAAAGCAUUUGCCANGGAUGUUUUCAUUAAUCAGUGAACGAAAGUUAGGGGAUCGAAGACGAUCAGAUACCGUCGUAGUCUUAACCAUAAACUAUGCCGACUAGGGAUCGGGCGAUGUUAUCUUNNUGACUCGCUCGGCACCUCACGAGAAAUCAAAGUNUUUGGGUUUUGGGGGGAGUAUAGUCGCAAGGCUGAAACUUAAAGAAAUUGACGGAAGGGCACCACCAGGAGUGGAGCCUGCGGCUUAAUUUGACUCANCACGGGGAAACUCACCAGGUCCAGACACAAUAAGGAUUGACAGAUUGAGAGCUCUUUCUUGAUCUUGUGGGUGGUGGUGCAUGGCCGUUCUUAGUUGGUGGAGUGAUUUGUCUGCUUAAUNGCGAUAACGAACGAGACCUUAACCUGCUAAAUAGCCCGGCUAGCUUUGGCUGGUCGCUGGCUUCUUANAGGGACUAUCGGCUCAAGCCGAUGGAAGUUUGAGGCAAUAACAGGUCUGUGAUGCCCUUAGAUGUUCUGGGCCGCANGCGCGCUACACUGACAGAGCCANCGAGUUCAUCACCUUGGCCGAAAGGCCUGGGUAAUCUUGUUCAACUCUGUCGUGCUGGGGAUAGAGCAUUGCANUAAUCGAAU